AGAAUCAACGCUGGCGGCGUGCCUAACACAUGCAAGUCGAACGCGAAAGCCCCGAAAGGGGCAAGUAGAGUGGCAAACGGGUGAGUAACACGUGGGUGACCUGCCUUCGAGCGGGGGAUAACGUCCCGAAAGGGACGCUAAUACCGCAUAACAUCCUGCCUUUGAAGAGGUGGAGAUCAAAGCUGGGGAUCGCAAGACCCGGCACUUGAAGAGGGGCCCGCGUCUGAUUAGCUAGUUGGUGGGUAAUGGCCUACCAAGGCAACGAUCAGUA
rnacentral:rRNA from 1 species